GGGCUUAUAGCUCAGGUGGUUAGAGCGCACGCCUGAUAAGCGUGAGGUCGAUGGUUCGAGUCCAUCUAGGCCCACCA
rnacentral:tRNA from 1 species